GAUGAACGCUGGCGGCGUGCCUAAUACAUGCAAGUCGAGCGAACGGACGAGAAGCUUGCUUCUCUGAUGUUAGCGGCGGACGGGUGAGUAACACGUGGAUAACCUACCUAUAAGACUGGGAUAACUUCGGGAAACCGGAGCUAAUACCGGAUAAUAUUUUGAACCGCAGGGUUCAAAAGUGAAAGACGGUCUGGCUGUCACUUAUAGAUGGAUCCGCGCUGCAUUAGCUAGGUGGUAAGGUAACGGCUUACCAAGGCAACGAUGCAUAGCCGACCUGAGAGGGUGAUCAGCCACACUGGAACUGAGACACGGUCCAGACUCCUACGGGAGGCAGCAGUAGGGAAUCUUCCGCAAUGGGCGAAAGCCUGACGGGGCAACGCCGCGUGAGUGAUGAAGGUCUUCGGAUCGUAAAACUCUGUUAUUAGGGAAGAACAUAUGUGUAAGUAACUGUGCCCAUCUUGACGGUACCUAAUCAGAAAGCCCCGGCUAACUACGUG
rnacentral:rRNA from 1 species